rnacentral:rRNA from 1 species
AAACGAAAGAGUUUGAUCCUGGCUCAGGACGAACGCUGGCGGCGUGCCUAACACAUGCAAGUCGAGCGGAGACAGUGAGUAGCUUGCUAUGAGCUGUUUUAGCGGCGGACGGGUGAGUAACGCGUGAGCAA